rnacentral:lncRNA from 1 species
UACUAGCAUAUCUGAACCUUUUGCACCAUUCAGGAAAGAGAAAAGGGGAGCUCAGGAAAAGCAGUUGAAACACCAUUAGUUAACAGAUUGCCCAAUGAAGUCGAUGACAACUGUGAUAAGAAAUUACUCACUAUCACAGUGU